UACGUAGGCAGCAAGCGUUGUUCGGAAUUACUGGGCGCAAAGAGUGUGUAGGCGGUGCUCUAAGUUCGGUGUGAAAUCUCCCGGCUCAACUGGGAGGGUGCGCUGAAAACUGGGGUGCUCGAGGGUGGGAGAGGUAAGCGGAAUUCCUGGUGUAGCGGUGAAAUGCGUAGAUAUCAGGAGGAACACCUGUGGUGUAGACAGCUUACUGGACCACUUCUGACGCUGAGACACGAAAGCGUGGGUAGCAAACAGG
rnacentral:rRNA from 1 species